rnacentral:rRNA from 1 species
GGCGUAAAGCGCAUGCAGGUGGUCUGUUAAGUCAGAUGUGAAAUCCCCGGGCUUAACCUGGGAACUGCAUUUGAAACUGGCAGGCUUGAGUCCUGUAGAGGGGGGUAGAAUUUC